GACGAACGCUGGCGGCGUGCUUAACACAUGCAAGUCGUACGGUAAGGCCCUUUCGGGGGUACACGAGUGGCGAACGGGUGAGUAACACGUGAGUAACCUGCCCACAACUUUGGGAUAACGCUAGGAAACUGGUGCUAAUACUGGAUAUGUGCUCCUGCUGCAUGGUGGGGGUUGGAAAGCUCCGGCGGUUGUGGAUGGACUCGCGGCCUAUCAGCUUGUUGGUGGGGUAGUGGCCUACCAAGGCGGCGACGGGUAGCCGGCCUGAGAGGGUGACCGGCCACAUUGGGACUGAGAUACGGCCCAGACUCCUACGAGAGGCAGCAGUGGAUAAUAUUGCACAAUGGGCGCAAGCCUGAUGCAGCAACUCCGCGUGCGGGAUGACGGCCUUCGGGUUGUAAACCGCUUUCAGCAGGGACGAAGCUUUUUGUGACGGUACCUGCAGAAGAAGCACCGGCUAACUACGUG
rnacentral:rRNA from 1 species